rnacentral:lncRNA from 1 species
AUAAACUUUCCUCAGUCAGAAUUUGGCCAUUUACAUAAUAAAAAUUUAAACAUAAUAGUAAUUUAGAGCUUCACAUUUCUUUUUUUUUUUUAGCUUGGUCUUAAAGCCUUUUUCAAUGGGUUAUUUUUUACAAUAUAUGACGGCAUAGCAGUGAAAAUGGACAAAUGAGCUAAUGUAUGGGACAAAUUCUAGACCUUUGUCAACAACCUAAGGAUAUUAACAGUCAAACGUCAAGCAAAAUGUAAUCAAAGAUCAAGCAUCAAAACUUUGGAAUUAUAAAUUUAGUUUUUUUUUUUUUUUUGCUGAAAAUGGCCUUCACCAGCUAGCAACAACACAAUGAUUUGAUCAUUACCGUGAGUGUAAACUAAUCCUACAACCCACACACCUUCAGUUUGGACUGGGUGGCACAACUCAUGAGUUAUGCAGAAAUAGAUACUGAGUGCCAGAAGCAUGACAGCUCUACAGCCCAUUAGCAGAUCCUGUGCCACUCACUACAAUAAAGGCUGAGGUAAGAUUGCAUCACACAGAGCCUGACUGCAAUGACACAAUCGUUAUUAGCAUGCAGUGCUGGAGCAGGCCUGUAUUUCUCCAUUUGAAUAAUCUUUGAUUUAGUGUAAUGUAAGCCAGCAAAUAAAAAAAGUCUGCUUUACCAGUGCAAAAAAGCAGCAAAUGAGGCUUGUAAAAAAAAUUUUCAGCCACUUUCAUGGCAGAAUUCAUCUUACCAGGCUGGGCAGUUAGUCUUGCAGAGUUGAAUGAAUGCAAUUCAAAAGGAGAAAAAAAAGGGGCAGAGCCCAUUGGAACACUUUAAGGAGGGGGUUAUAGUUAAACCAAUCAAAAAGGGCUCCAUAGGCAGCGCGAGGUUUGAUUUCUUAAAGGAGCAGAUCUUUUUUUUCCCCCAGUCUAAAGGAAAAAGAAAACUCGGUUUGAGAGAACGGGUGGGAAAUGUUUACAUGCAUCUGGAAACACAAAUCCUUCUGAAGGAGCAGAAUGGAAAAAUCACAAAUAUGCUUGCUUUGAUCACACACACACACACCAUUAACCAGACAUACAUUUUCUUAUCAGUUCCAGCUGAUUUAUUUGUGUCAGAUACAGACUUCAGCAUGACGACAUGUAACUCAUUUCCUUUGCUACAAAACGCAGAUGGUCCAUUUUGGGAGUAUAUUGCACAAAAUAAAAUAAAAAAAACAAUGUGCCAUUAUGAUGGAAAAAAACAACAAACAAAAACUAAACAAAAAAAUAAAAUAAAGCAAUACAAAAUCCAGUUUUACACCUGCUAUUUGGGACCCAUUCACACAGAUAUACAUAAACUCCUAGCUUUACUAUAUUACAGAACAUAUACAAUCUUCAAUCUAGUACCAGAAAUGAGGCUCAUGUGUUCCCCCAAUUCCAUUGUACAUUUUCCCUAUAGAAACGCUUCAGAUCUACAGCUGUACACUUGCCUUGAGUAAAAUAAUAACCAGGCAUUUAAAUGCAAGUCGACUUGUCAGUUUAAUUCUUGCAUGCUUUUACAAAUGAAACCGGGUUGAAGUGCCUGAAGAAACCUCACUUAAAGCACAGUAAGAACAUUCCCUUUAACUGUACAAAAAUAUGCCAGAAAAUAUUUUACUUUUUUUUUUUUAAAAAGAUGAGGUAUGUUGGUCAUGUAUCAAAAUGCUUCCUGCCAUACCUGUGUGUUCUAGAGUGGUUAUCUGCGUAAAAUAUCCCCAUACUUGGAGGGAAACUGAACCGGAUAGAAAAAAAAAGAAACAUUUGUGACGUACAGAAAUUACAUAAGACCUCAGAAAAAGUUCCAUCCUGAACAGUGUUUCAGAAUUGCCUCCAUUCAGUCAAGCAGCCAUUUGCCAGCUCCCUGUAGAGAUACGGGUGGGAUGGGAAUGCAUAGUUCAGAUUUUACAUUUUGCGCUCCACCACAGUUUAAGCAGUUUCACUGCAACCCCACAGAAUAACCACACAUUAUGGCAAGCUACUUUAACAUUUACUGCUUUCUAACUAACUAGCAUUAAUUUUUUUCAAGUGACUUGUACUUAUUAGUGAUUCAAUAGUGGUUAGUGUCUCAAAUUCACUAGCAAUUUAUUUAUAUAAUACCCUAUAAUUUAAUUCUUCAGGUCACUAUACUAGAUUAGUACCAAAUGGAAUGGCUUAAUAUUAUUAGUAGUAUUAGGUACAGGCAAAAUUGGAGAAUGUGCCAGCAAUAACAUUUCAAUCAGCUGAGAAAACAUGUUACAAUUUGUUAAAAUUAAUAGCACAAGAGUUACUUGCCAUAAGUGAUAGUGACUAGCAGCAAAGGAAUAAAGUGUUUUCGCUAAAGUACUAGAAAUAAAAUAAAUCCUUGUGUGUCAUUCACUGGCAUUUGAGUGAUGGUCAAAUAAGACCAUACCGUGCAGUUUCAAGGAGUAAAUGUUAAAAGAGCUUGCCAUACACACACAGCACAGUCAAUGUUUGGACCAUGUUGUCACUUUUUUUCUUAACGUUACGCGUCUCGUAACGCACGUUCCUCCGUCUAAACCGGGACAACCACCGAGGCAGAGUCAAAAAAUAACCUGAAGAUGCGCAAUGCCUCCUUGGUCAUGGAGGAGUUUGUCAGUUAGUAAGUGAAAACCAGGUCUGAAAAGUUCGCCUCCAGCCAGUCUCCCGCGAUCAUCUCACUGAGCUCGGGAGUGCAAUAGUCCGGGAACUCGAAGUGAGAACCGAGGCUGCCCUCGCUGAACGAGUCCAAAUCUUUAUCCACCAGAGAGAGGCAAAGGUUUCCUGAAGUGUUCCCCAAGUCCGCGGUGUGAGAGCCCGCCGCUAAGUUCAAACUGAAGUCCACCAGCAAGUCGUCGGAGUCCUCGCUGGAGCUGCUGGACGAAGAGGAGACUGACCUGAAAGAAGAUGCUGGUGACACCGAGGCAGGGCUCCUCUAAAGUUCAACUACCACGUCCAGAGCGCCCUGCUCCCAUCAACUGGUCCUAAUGAGCCUGAAACAAACCUGAUGAACCGACUGAGACGCAGUGUGGAGACUGACCAAGCACAAAAAAUCCAUGACACACAGCUUUCAUUCCUGCUACAUCCAUAUCUGAGUCUGCACCAAUUUGAUGAUUCACGGAUGUUCAUGGCCUGUUUUGCAAAUCUUCACACUUAAAAACUCUCUACAACUUCAGAUUACAUUCCACUCCUGGCUCUACCAGUACCAAAUUUGGUCAAUUGAAUAAAUCCGGCAUGUUCUUGGUCUGUGGACUUCUCCUGUUUCUCAGUGGGUGUAUUUAGAAGAAUGUUUAAAUGUUUUAAUGACCAGUAAUUUCAUUAUUUCCUUGGGCAUAUUAAUAAACAUUGUGCAUAAUAAUACUCUUUUCUUUUCAUUAUUCUUUUCUUCUGUAUUUUGUGCCACUUAAAAUUCCAUUUUGUUAAUCAACAGAUGAACAAACGCAUUACUAUUAUUUAAUUUAGAACAAAGUAUUAUACUGUAGGACUACGGU